GACGAACGCUGGCGGCGUGCUUAACACAUGCAAGUCGAACGGAAAGGCCCUGCUUUUGUGGGGUGCUCGAGUGGCGAACGGGUGAGUAACACGUGAGUAACCUGCCCUUGACUUUGGGAUAACUUCAGGAAACUGGGGCUAAUACCGGAUAGGAGCUCCUGCUGCAUGGUGGGGGUUGGAAAGUUUCGGCGGUUGGGGAUGGACUCGCGGCUUAUCAGCUUGUUGGAGGGGUAGUGGCUUACCAAGGCUUUGACGGGUGGCCGGCCUGAGAGGGUGACCGGCCACAUUGGGACUGAGAUACGGCCCAGACUCCUACGGGAGGCAGCAGUGGGGAAUAUUGCACAAUGGGCGGAAGCCUGAUGCAGCAACGCCGCGUGCGGGAUGACGGCCUUCGGGUUGUAAACCGCUUUCGCCUGUGACGAAGCGUGAGUGACGGUAAUGGGUAAAGAAGCACCGGCUAACUACGUG
rnacentral:rRNA from 1 species